rnacentral:lncRNA from 1 species
GCCCCUCCCCCUUCCCCUUGCAGCCACCCUCCACUACUUCCUCCUCUCUCUAGAUCUCCCCCCACGCAGCAAGGAUCGAGAAGAGGAGGAGCAAGAUGGAUUGAAGAGGAAGAGAGGAUCAAGGAGAUGUUCUACCCCCAUCUCUUGCAGAUUUUCUUAGGGAAACCCUAGGUAAGGAUAGGAUCCUUGUUCCUCCCUAUAAUUAUAUGCUUUUGGAGGUUGUGGAUCAUGUGGAUUGAAGGAUUAGAGGUUGGAUUAGAUGUGGGGUUAGGUUUUGAUCUCGAAUUUAAUUUCUGCAGAAUGACAGAUUCGACAGUUUCUGUUCAUGUCAGUUUUCCGUGGUCUUAAUGGCCUCAAAAAAAUAAAAAGUCUAUAUAUGAGUCGUAUAUAAUUUGUAGAUCUUUCCGUGGCCACGAAGAACACCUCAAUCGGACAUCAGAACAGAAAGUUAUUGCAGUUUGAUUAUAGCAGUUUUUCAGUCUCAUAAUUUUGUGCAGAAUCUGUUCUCUUAAGAGUUAGGCAAUUUUAUCAACAGAAUUAAACUGUGGGUUGGUAAAAUAAGUUGUAGAUAAUUUCAUAAGCUUUCCAGAUUGUUAAAGAGUGUGUUCAUAUGAUUUAUAAAACUCCAGUUAUGUUUGUUUUACUGUGACUGUUCCUGUUUGCCUGACAAAAAUGAGUGGGUCUGUUCACUGGUGGGUUUCAUCUAGUAAAUGGCCUAAUUGGCUCUUCCAACUGUGGAGACUUUUGUAGAGGGAUAAAAGUUCUUACUGCCAGCAGAAUUUUAUAAUUUUUGGUUCAGUAGUUUGGGAGAUAUCGAAUUUUGAAGUUAACUAGGCUGCUGUCUAAAACAGAUUCAGUCAGUUAUCUUGUCAGAUGUUUUAGAAUAUAUUGAUGGCAGAAUUUAAUUAUCCAUUGAAUACCGAAGUUGUAGAUUGUUUUGUGUAGAUACUCUUAGAGUAUUUGUUUGAUAUCACCAAUGUUUUAAUUUUAAAGAUACAAAAUUAACAAACAGCGCUGCUGCUGUAUAGCAUGUGGUUCAGGGUGGGAGUCUUUCCACUAUGUCUUGGUUUCAAGUGUAGGAGUGUUUUGUUGAUUGUUAGCAAAUGUUUGUGAAAUAUUUGUACUAAGUUUUAUGCAGAUGAAGUCUUAUUUGAGGUAUGCAUGUGGUUCAUGAGAUUAAUUCACACCCCUGAAGGCAGAUGAAGUCUUAUUUGAGGUUUGCAUUGUAUCUAAAGGCAUAUGAAGUAUUAUUUGAGGAUUGCAUUGUAUCUGAAGGCAGAUAAAGUAUUAUUUGAGGUUUGUAUUGUAUCUAAAGGAAGUGAAAUUUAUUGAUAAAUGCAGCAUGCCAUAUACAUUGCAUGACUCAUUUGCAUCUGAAGUUUUGUCGUGACCUAUGGUCCGACCGUACCGGUACAACUUAGCAUCGUACGUUGCCCGAGAAGGGGUACGAUGCAGCUUCAUACCCUUAGAGGUAUGAAGGCAGAGGACAUAUGCAUUACAUUCAUAUGCAUACAUUGAAGUGAUAUUUGCAGAUGAUGUGGUUUUAUACCCUCAAAGGUAUGAAGAUAGAUGACCUACACAUUGCUUUCCUAUGCAUACAUUGAAGUGGUAUUUGCAGGUAUUGUUGAUGCAGGGAAGUGUUAUACAACAUAUUGUGGUUGUUCGAGGAAAUGAGAUGGUAUUAGUUAUAUUGUGACCACUGAGUUCUAUAUCUACAAGUAUUUCUGAUCUUGAUUGUGAUUCUUUUAAAAUGUUGAUUAAUUCAAUGUGGUUUAAAUAUCUCGUCAAAACAAUUAGCUUGCUGAGAUGUUUCAUCUCACUCUUGCAUUACUCAAUGCAGGUGCUUGUUGCUUAUCAAGGGGAGUGGGAAGUAGCAGCACAUACACCUUCACUCUCAUAAUAACGCUGCCCAGGCGCAGUCAUGAUUUAAUUAGAAACUUCUUGUCAAAGGAUGUUUGUUUUUAACUAGUCGUGCGCACUGGUUAAUUCAGUUCAUGUCGUUAUGGUCGUCUUCCCAUUGCUAGCAGAUUAUUAAUGUCUAUUUUGUUUUCUUAUUAUGAUAUCUAUUUAUACUUUGUUGCUUCCCCGUUUAUGCAAUUUUCAAAGGAGACACUGUCGAAAUUUUAUAUAUGAAUGUUAGAUGUGUAGUUUAGUAGCAUUCUGGGGUGUUUGUGGAUCCCGGGGUGUUAAGCUUAGGCUUUAGAUUCUUGGCAAUUUGAAGAUAAAUUUGACACACUUGCACAUAUAGGAAGGGUAUGGGUUCAAGUAUCUUUGAUAUAUAUUAGUGACUUUGAAGUGCAGAUGACAAUAAUUUCACCCCUCCCGAUUCCUUUACGGUGAUGUGGUAAGUUGUUUAUGGCUUAAUGCUUGAUAUAAUUUAUUUCUGAAAUUUUGAUAUCGUUUUAUUAAUGCGGUAGAUAUCGCUGGUCAUUUGUGAGAAUGAAGUUGUUAUUAUGCUUGUGAUAUACAAGUAUGCCUAUGUUGUUUUCACUAUGUUUUUCAUGGUUGAGUUUUAUUACAAUAAUAUUGUUAUAUAUGCUUGACUGAGGAUGUUUCUAAGAGGAGUGUGAAUUGCGUGUUUUGGGGUACAAGGUAAUCAUCAAUUUGAAUUUAAGUUGUUGAGCGGUUGGUGGAUAGCUCCAACUAUCUUUGCAAAGAAUGAUUGUUUAUGUUGAGAAACCAGUUCUGAAAGAAAUGAAUAUUGGUACUUGUAUAUGGAUUUUGGGGGAAGUCUUUACAUAGCCAGAAUGGCUUACAUGUCUCUCUUCUAUCGUGUGUUUUAGUAGCCACAAAACCUAGAUGUGGUUUAAAGUGGUUGCAUGUUAGUCAUGAUAAUUGUAGAAUAAAUCUUUGAUUUUUCUUGAUCCAUUGAUUAUGUAUUAAUACGUUGAGGAUUUGAUGGUUCUCUUCCUGAUGCAUGUUUGUGGAGCCAUUGUUGGACCACUUAUCUAUUGGUUUGAAUGAAGUCAUUGCCUAGCCUAGAGUUGGUUGUGUGUGGUUAUUCACCUAUUCCUAAAUGAUGUGGUUUUUACAUCAACUUGGGAUGUUUGCCAAAUGUGUGAAGGAUUACGGGGUUAGUAUUGGCCCUUUAUGUCUGGUACUCUGAGUGCAUCAUAUGAUAGAAUGAGAUGUAAGUUUCUGAACUACAAUAGAUGAAGACUCAUAUUAUGUGUAGGUUAACUUUAGUAGUUGGAUAUUUUUAUUAGUUGAGAUGCUGAAUGAAGUAUAGUGACAUGGGUUAAGCAAGUAUUGUGUUGUUGUUGGGCUGUCAGUGCUCUAUGUAGAGUUUUUGAAAUUUCUUCGAUGAACUGUGCCGCGCAAGAUUUUAUUGGCUUCUUGUCGGCUUUAUUUCUCCAUUAGUUCUAUAGAUUUUCUCCCUUUUGGUGGAGUGCAAAGUAUGUUAGAUUACAUGAUUAUCGUUUCAUUAUGGCAAGAACAAGGUUUAGGAAGAUUAGGAGUUUUGUUUCAAUAGAACUACUUGUUUCGUGGUGUUGUGAGGUGAGGUGUUUGAUCUUCUUACACAUUCAUCUGGUGUGGAUGUUUCACCAUUGAAUUAAAAUGAAUUGUUGAAGUUGGUAAAGGUUGUGCUUAGUGCAUAUUACCCCUUCAUAAAAGAGUGUCGUUUUAAGACAUUGAUGUUGAUGUAUGGCUGCAUCCAAAUUCGAUGUUGUGAAAUCGUAGUGUUGAUUGCAUCUAUGACUUGGUUUGAGCUUCAUUACAUGUUGGUUCAUCCUUGAUGUCAGGUUGUGUAGUUUCCUUAGACAAUUAGUCCAAGGUAGAAGUUCUUAUGUUAAUUAAGACCAAUAAUGGACCCAUGUUUCGAAUGGUGGUGCUAUAUGGGGUACCUUGGGUGUUUUGCUUGGAGUGGUCGAAUUCGAGGACGAAUUCUUUUUAAGGGGGUAGAGUGUAAUAUCCCAAAAAAAAUGUUGCCAAAGGUUUAUCUUCAGUGCGUGGAUGUGGGGAAAGAGUUGUGGGCCGUUGGAUGCAAAGUCAAGAGACAUCUGAGGCGUCGUUUCUUUCUCCCACAAAACCCUAGUGGUCGCCCCCCCUAUUUUUCCCUUUUCUUGGCCGCCAACCCCCCUUUUUCCCCACCCUCGGCCGCCCCUCCCCCUUCCCCUUGCAGCCACCCUCCACUACUUCCUCCUCUCUCUAGAUCUCCCCCCACGCAGCAAGGAUCGAGAAGAGGAGGAGCAAGAUGGAUUGAAGAGGAAGAGAGGAUCAAGGAGAUGUUCUACCCCCAUCUCUUGCAGAUUUUCUUAGGGAAACCCUAGGUAAGGAUAGGAUCCUUGUUCCUCCCUAUAAUUAUAUGCUUUUGGAGGUUGUGGAUCAUGUGGAUUGAAGGAUUAGAGGUUGGAUUAGAUGUGGGGUUAGGUUUUGAUCUCGAAUUUAAUUUCUGCAGAAUGACAGAUUCAACAGUUUCUGUUCAUGUCAGUUUUCCGUGGUCUUAAUGGCCUCAAAAAAAUAAAAAGUCUAUAUAUGAGUCGUAUAUAAUUUGUAGGUCUUUCCGUGGCCAUGAAGAACACCUCAAUCGGACAUCAGAACAGAAAGUUAUUGCAGUUUGAUUAUAGCAGUUUUUCAGUCUCAUAAUUUUGUGCAGAAUCUGUUCUCUUAAGAGUUAGGCAAUUUUAUCAACAGAAUUAAACUGUGGGUUGGUAAAAUAAGUUGUAGAUAAUUUCAUAAGCUUUCCAGAUUGUUAAAGAGUGUAUUCAUAUGAUUUAUAAAACUCCAGUUAUGUUUGUUUUACUGUGGCUGUUCCUGUUUGCCUGACAAAAAUGAGUGGGUCUGUUCACUGGUGGGUUUCAUCUAGUAAAUGGCCUAAUUGGCUCUUCCAACUGUGGAGACUUUUGUAGAGGGAUAAAAGUUCUUACUGCCAGCAGAAUUUUAUAAUUUUUGGUUCAGUAGUUUGGGAGAUAUCGAAUUUUGAAGUUAACUAGGCUGCUGUCUAAAACAGAUUCAGUCAGUUAUCUUGUCAGAUGUUUUAGAAUAUAUUGAUGGCAGAAUUUAAUUAUCCAUUGAAUACCGAAGUUGUAGAUUGUUUUGUGUAGAUACUCUUAGAGUAUUUGUUUGAUAUCACCAAUGUUUUAAUUUUAAAGAUACAAAAUUAACAAACAGCGCUGCUGCUGUAUAGCAUGUGGUUCAGGGUGGGAGUCUUUCCACUAUGUCUUGGUUUCAAGUGUAGGAGUGUUUUGUUGAUUGCUAGCAAAUAUUUGUGAAAUAUUUGUACUAAGUUUUAUGCAGAUGAAGUCUUAUUUGAGGUAUGCAUGUGGUUCAUGAGAUUAAUUCACACCCCUGAAGGCAGAUGAAGUCUUAUUUGAGGUUUGCAUUGUAUCUAAAGGCAUAUGAAGUAUUAUUUGAGGAUUGCAUUGUAUCUGAAGGCAGAUAAAGUAUUAUUUGAGGUUUGUAUUGUAUCUAAAGGAAGUGAAAUUUAUUGAUAAAUGCAGCAUGCCAUAUACAUUGCAUGACUCAUUUGCAUCUGAAGUUUUGUCGUGACCUAUGGUCCGACCGUACCGGUACAACUUAGCAUCGUACGUUGCCCGAGAAGGGGUACGAUGCAGCUUCAUACCCUUAGAGGUAUGAAGGCAGAGGACAUAUGCAUUACAUUCAUAUGCAUACAUUGAAGUGAUAUUUGCAGAUGAUGUGGUUUUAUACCCUCAAAGGUAUGAAGAUAGAUGACCUACACAUUGCUUUCCUAUGCAUACAUUGAAGUGAUAUUUGCAGGUAUUGUUGAUGCAGGGAAGUGUUAUACAACAUAUUGUGGUUGUUCGAGGAAAUGAGAUGGUAUUAGUUAUAUUGUGACUACUGAGUUCUAUAUCUACAAGUAUUUCUGAUCUUGAUUGUGAUUCUUUUAAAAUGUUGAUUAAUUCAAUGUGGUUUAAAUAUCUCGUCAAAACAAUUAGCUUGCUGAGAUGUUUCAUCUCACUCUUGCAUUACUCAAUGCAGGUGCUUGUUGCUCAUCAAGGGGAGUGGGAAGUAGCAGCACAUACACCUUCACUCUCAUAAUAACGCUGCCCAGGCG